AUUAAAAUUUGAAGAAAC
rnacentral:sRNA from 1 species